GUUGAACGCUGGCGGCAUGCCUUACACAUGCAAGUCGAGCGGGGUUUUCGGACCUAGCGGCGGACGGGUGAGUAAUGCGUAGGAAGCUACCCGAUAGAGGGGGAUACCAGUUGGAAACGACUGUUAAUACCGCAUAAUGUCUACGGACCAAAGUGUGGGCUCUUCGGGCCACAUGCUAUCGGAUGCGCCUACGUGGGAUUAGCUAGUUGGUGAGGUAAUGGCUGACCAAGGCGACGAUCCCUAGCUGGUUGGAGAGGACGAUCAGCCACACUGAAACGGAGACAGAGUCCAGACUCCUACGGGGGGCAGCAGUGGGGAAUAUUAGACAAUGGGCGCAAGCCUGCUCCAGCCAUGCCGCGUGUGUGAAGAAGGCCUUCGGGUUGUAAAGCACUUUCAGUAGGGAGGAAGGGUUAAGUGUUAAUAGUACUUAACUUUGACGUUACCUACAGAAGAAGCACCGGCUAACUCUGUGCCAUCCGCCGCCGUAACAC
rnacentral:rRNA from 1 species